UGGAGCAGCAGGGAUGCAGCCAGCCAUAAACCGUUCCUUUUCUUGGUGCAGCCUCGGAGGCCUCGAUCCAACACGCGCAGGACGUGGCGCUGCCCCUCCAUUGCGGGCUCCUCCUCAACGCACGACCCAAGAGGAACGGACGCUAGGGGGACCCGGCGGGAGAGCUGGCGGCCGCCUCAGGACCGAAACAGAACGCUCGGUGCCAAAGCUGAGCUCAAGCAACAUUAGGAACAAGCUUCAUUCUCUGUGGGUGCAUCAGCCUGCGGAACUGUCUAAGCCAGCUCCCCGAAUCAUGAAGUGACCAAUGUGUGAAAAC